CCUACGGGAGGCUGCAGUGAGGAAUAUUGGUCAAUGGACGAGAGUCUGAACCAGCCAAGUAGCGUGAAGGAUGACUGCACUAUGGGUUGUAAACUUCUUUUAUAUGGGAAUAAAAUGUUCCACGUGUGGGAUUUUGUAUGUACCAUAUGAAUAAGGAUCGGCUAACUCCGUGCCAGCAGCCGCGGUAAUACGGAGGAUCCGAGCGUUAUCCGGAUUUAUUGGGUUUAAAGGGAGCGUAGGUGGAUUGUUAAGUCAGUUGUGAAAGUUUGCGGCUCAACCGUAAAAUUGCAGUUGAAACUGGCAGUCUUGAGUACAGUAGAGGUGGGCGGAAUUCGUGGUGUAGCGGUGAAAUGCUUAGAUAUCACGAAGAACUCCGAUUGCGAAGGCAGUUCACUGGACUGCAACUGACACUGAGGCUCGAAAGUGUGGGUAUCAAACAGGAUUAGAUACCCGAGUAGUC
rnacentral:rRNA from 1 species